UGAGUACGAGCGGCUACGGCCGCGAAGUGGAUGAUGUCAAGCUUCCAAGAAAAGCCCUAUACCCGUUAAGGCAUGAUGGCCUGUACCCGAAACCGACACAGGUGGGGUGGUAGAGAAUACCGAGGGGCGCGAGGUAACUCUCUCUAAGGAACUCGGCAAAAUGGCCCCGUAACUUCGGGAGAAGGGGUGCCACCGCGAGGUGGUCGCAGUGAAGAGGCCCAGGCGACUGUUUACCAAAAACACAGGUCUCCGCUAAGUCGCAAGACGAUGUAUGGGGGCUGACGCCUGCCCAGUGCCGGAAGGUUAAGGAAGCUGGUCAGCGCAAGCGAAGCUGGCGACUGAAGCCCCGGUGAACGGCGGCCGUAACUAUAACGGUCCUAAGGUAGCGAAAUUCCUUGUCGGGUAAGUUCCGACCCGCACGAAAGGCGUAACGAUCUGGGCGCUGUCUCGGAGAGAGGCUCGGCGAAAUAGAAUUGUCUGUGAAGAUGCGGACUACGUGCACCCGGACAGAAAGACCCUAUGAAGCUUUACUGUAGCUUGGUAUUGUGCUCGGGCUUGCUGUGCGCAGGAUAGGUGGGAGGCUUUGAUCCAUUGCUUGCGGGUGAUGGUGAGCCACUGGUGAGAUACCACUCUUUCCGAGCUAGAGUUCUAACAGCAACCCGUUAUCCGGGUGCUGGACAGUAUCAGGUGGGCAGUUUGACUGGGGCGGUCGCCUCCUAAAAGGUAACGGAGGCGCGCAAAGGUCUGCUCAGGCUGGUUGGAAAUCAGCCGACGAGUGUAAAAGCAGAAGCAGGCUUGACUGUGAGACCUACAAGUCGAACAGGGAGGAAACUCGGCUUUAGUGAUCCGACGGUUCUGCGUGGAAGGGCCGUCGCUCAACGGAUAAAAGUUACUCUAAGGAUAACAGGCUGAUCUCCCCCAAGAGUUCACAUCGACGGGGAGGUUUGGCACCUCGAUGUCGGCUCAUCGCAACCUGGGGCUGAAGUCGGUCCCAAGGGUUGGGCUGUUCGCCCAUUAAAGCGGUACGCGAGCUGGGUUCAGAACGUCGUGAGACAGUUCGGUCCAUAUCCGGUGCACGCGCAGGAAUAUUGAGAGGAUUUCUCCCUAGUACGAGAGGACCGGGAGGAACGCACCUCUGGUGUGCCAGUUAUCGUGCCAACGGUAAACGCUGGGUAGCCAUGUGCGGAGUGGAUAACCGCUGAAAGCAUCUAAGUGGGAAGCCCACCUCGAGAUGAGUAUUCCCAUGGCAUAAGCCAGUAAGGUCACGGGAAGAACACCCGUUGAUAGGCUCUACGUGGAAGCGCAGUAAUGUGUGAAGCGGAGGAGUACUAAUAGACCGAGGGCUUGACC
rnacentral:rRNA from 1 species